rnacentral:rRNA from 1 species
AAUGAACGUUGGCGGCGUGGAUUAGGCAUGCAAGUCGAGCGAGAAGUCACAGAUUGAAGCUUCGGCCGAUUUCUGUGAUGGACAGCGGCGAAAGGGAGAGUAACGCGUGGAUUAUUUACCCCCGAGACCGGGAUAGCCGCGGGAAACUGCGGGUAAUACCGGAUAACGUCUCCGGACCAAAUGGUGUGAUUCCGCUUGGGGAUGAGUCCGCGUCCUAUUAGCUUGUUGGUGGGGUAACGGCCUACCAAGGCUACUAUGGGUACCGGUGUGAGAGCAUGACCCGGCUCACUGGGACUGAGACACUGCCCAGACACCUACGGGUGGCUGCAGUCGAGAAUCUUCGGCAAUGCGCGCAAGCGUGACCGAGCGACGCCGCGUGUGGGAUGAAGGCCUUCGGGUUGUAAACCACUGUCAGUUGGGAGGAAAUCCAUAGGGGCUAUCUCCUAUGGUUGACCUAUCAUCAGAGGAAGGACGGGCUAAGUUCGUG